rnacentral:rRNA from 1 species
GAACGAGAAAGUGGAGCAAUCCAUGAGUAAAGUGGCGACCGGGUGAGUAACACGUGACUAACCUACCCUGAAGUGGGGGAUAACCCCGGGAAACCGGGGCUAAUACCGCAUACCCUCGCGAGGUGAAAUCCCUUGUGAGCAAAGGAGUAAUCCGCUUUUGGAGGGGGUCGCGCCUGAUUAGCUAGUUGGUGAGGUAACGGCUCACCAAGGCGAUGAUCAGUAUCCGGCCUGAGAGGGCGCACGGACACACUGGAACUGAAACACGGUCCAGACUCCUACGGGAGGCAGCAGUGGGGAAUUUUGCGCAAUGGGGGAAACCCUGACGCAGCAACGCCGCGUGGAGGAUGAAGUCCCUUGGGACGUAAACUCCUUUCGAUCGGGACGAUAAUGACGGUACCGGAAGAAGAAGCACCGGCUAACUCUGUG